CACCUCUCAAGGUCGCACCCGGAGACUUUCCAGUACUCUACCAGUCUUGACUAUGGGAGGGAAAGUCAAGCAGAGGCAUAUCUAUUCCAUUCCUAGUUUGGGCAGUGGCUAGUGAGUGGAAGGCAAUCUGCUUCAAGU
rnacentral:snoRNA from 1 species